rnacentral:rRNA from 1 species
UACGAAGGGGGCUAGCGUUACUCGGAUUGACUGGGCGUAAAGGGCGCGUAGGCGGUUCGUACAGUCAGACGUGAAAUUCCUGGGCUCAACCUGGGGGCUGCGUUUGAUACGUGCGGGCUUGAGUUCGGAAGAGGGUCGUGGAAUUCCCAGUGUAGAGGUGAAAUCGUAGAUAUUGGGAAGAACACCGGUGGCGAAGGCGGCGACCUGGUCCGAUACUGACGCUGAGGCGCGAAAGCGUGGGGAGCAAACAGG